ACGACUGCUAAUACUCUAUACUCCUGCUUAACACAAGUUGAGUAGGGAAAGUUUUUCGGUGUAGGAUGAGACUAUAUAGUAUCAGCUAGUUGGUAAGGUAAUGGCUUACCAAGGCUAUGACGCUUAACUGGUCUGAGAGGAUGAUCAGUCACACUGGAACUGAGACACGGUCCAGACUCCUACGGGAGGCAGCAGUAGGGAAUAUUGCGCAAUGGGGGAAACCCUGACGCAGCAACGCCGCGUGGAGGAUGACACUUUUCGGAGCGUAAACUCCUUUUCUUAGGGAAGAAUUCUGACGGUACCUAAGGAAUAAGCACCGGCUAACUCCGUGCCAGCAGCCGCGGUAAUACGGAGGGUGCAAGCGUUACUCGGAAUCACUGGGCGUAAAGGGCGCGUAGGCGGAUUAUCAAGUCUCUUGUGAAAUCUAAUGGCUUAACCAUUAAACUGCUUGGGAAACUGAUAGUCUAGAGUGAGGGAGAGGCAGAUGGAAUUGGUGGUGUAGGGGUAAAAUCCGUAGAUAUCACCAAGAAUACCCAUUGCGAAGGCGAUCUGCUGGAACUCAACUGACGCUAAGGCGCGAAAGCGUGGGGAGCAAACAGGAUUAGAUACCCUGGUAGUCCACGCCCUAAACGAUGUACACUAGUUGUUGGGGUGCUAGUCAUCUCAGUAAUGCAGCUAACGCAUUAAGUGUACCGCCUGGGGAGUACGGUCGCAAGAUUAAAACUCAAAGGAAUAGACGGGGACCCGCACAAGCGGUGGAGCAUGUGGUUUAAUUCGAAGAUACGCGAAGAACCUUACCUGGGCUUGAUAUCCUAAGAACCUUAUAGAGAUAUGAGGGUGCUAGCUUGCUAGAACUUAGAGACAGGUGCUGCACGGCUGUCGUCAGCUCGUGUCGUGAGAUGUUGGGUUAAGUCCCGCAACGAGCGCAACCCACGUAUUUAGUUGCUAACGGUUCGGCCGAGCACUCUAAAUAGACUGCCUUCGUAAGGAGGAGGAAGGUGUGGACGACGUCAAGUCAUCAUGGCCCUUAUGCCCAGGGCGACACACGUGCUACAAUGGCAUAUACAAUGAGACGCAAUACCGCGAGGUGGAGCAAAUCUAUAAAAUAUGUCCCAGUUCGGAUUGUUCUCUGCAACUCGAGAGCAUGAAGCCGGAAUCGCUAGUAAUCGUAGAUCAGCCAUGCUACGGUGAAUACGUUCCCGGGUCUUGUACUCACCGCCCGUCACACCAUGGGAGUUGAUUUCACUCGAAGCCGGAAUACUAAACUAGUUACCGUCCACAGUGGAAUCAGCGACUGGGGUGAAGUCGUAACAAGGUAACCGUAGGAGAACCUGCGGUUGGAUCACCUCCUUUCUA
rnacentral:rRNA from 1 species